rnacentral:tRNA from 1 species
GAAGCCCCGGCACCUUUUUGGGGGUGCUUCU